UACGGAGGGUGCAAGCGUUAUCCGGAUUCACUGGGUUUAAAGGGUGCGUAGGUGGGCAGGUAAGUCAGUGGUGAAAUCCCCAAGCUUAACUUGGGAACUGCCAUUGAUACUAUUUGUCUUGAAUACCGUGGAGGUGAGCGGAAUAUGUCAUGUAGCGGUGAAAUGCAUAGAUAUGACAUAGAACAUCAAUUGCGAAGGCAGCUUGCUGGUCGAGUAUUGACACUGAGGCACGAAAGCGUGGGGAUCAAACAGG
rnacentral:rRNA from 1 species